rnacentral:sRNA from 1 species
UUCCUUCAUCCCGUUUGAAUGCCAAUGU